GUCUUGAGUACAGUAGAGGUGGGCGGAAUUCGUGGUGUAGCGGUGAAAUGCUUAGAUAUCACGAAGAACUCCGAUUGCGAAGGCAGCUCACUAGACUGUUACUGACACUGAUGCUCGAAAGUGUGGGUAUCAAACAGGAUUAGAUACCCUGGUAGUCCACACAGUAAACGAUGAAUACUCGCUGUUUGCGAUAUACAGUAAGCGGCCAAGCGAAAGCAUUAAGUAUUCCACCUGGGGAGUACGCCGGCAACGGUGAAACUCAAAGGAAUUGACGGGGGCCCGCACAAGCGGAGGAACAUGUGGUUUAAUUCGAUGAUACGCGAGGAACCUUACCCGGGCUUAAAUUGCAACAGAAUAUAUUGGAAACAGUAUAGCCGUAAGGCUGUUGUGAAGGUGCUGCAUGGUUGUCGUCAGCUCGUGCCGUGAGGUGUCGGCUUAAGUGCCAUAACGAGCGCAACCCUUAUCUUUAGUUACUAACAGGUCAUGCUGAGGACUCUAGAGAGACUGCCGUCGUAAGAUGUGAGGAAGGUGGGGAUGACGUCAAAUCAGCACGGCCCUUACGUCCGGGGCUACACACGUGUUACAAUGGGGGGUACAGAAGGCGGCUACCUGGUGACAGGAUGCUAAUCCCAAAAACCUCUCUCAGUUCGGAUCGAAGUCUGCAACCCGACUUCGUGAAGCUGGAUUCGCUAGUAAUCGCGCAUCAGCCAUGGCGCGGUGAAUACGUUCCCGGGCCUUGUACACACCGCCCGUCAAGCCAUGAAAGCCGGGGGUACCUGAAGUACGUAACCGCAAGGAGCGUCCUAGGGUAAAACUGGUAAUUGGGGCUAAGUCGUAACAAGGUAGCCGUACCGGAAGGUGCGGCUG
rnacentral:rRNA from 1 species